UCCUACAACGUUGUACCAACAUUGUAAAAAGGUUGAGGAUUCUACGUUGUUGCUAAAGGUUGUCACAACGAUGUCAUAAGGUUGCCAUUUAAACAUCAUGAGGGUCGCAUGCUUUAGGUUGUGCUUAGGUGGCGUGGACGACCACUGUACAACAUUUACUGGUCACAGCUGAAUCAGUUUAAAUUUCAACAAGCCGUCGUCUCAUUCAUCAACGACCGAGGAGACGCUAUUUUUACAUGGAGGUAAUCUUCUAUUGAUAAUUUCUGGAUUUUAAUUAUGCAAUGUUUUCAGCUGUUGAAUUCACCUCAUAUCAGUGUA